GCCAGAGGCAGGUCUUAAAACUAGCAACUGGGUGAGAAAUCAGUGGGGAGGGUAGGCUUUGACAAAGUAAGAGAUAAAGAGUCUGCUUUCAUAUUUUAGAAAAACCCAGGGAAUGCUGAAAAGCCCAUAGGAAAGAAGAAAUAUGCUGUCAAGAUGUUAGUGAGCCAAGGCCCAGGAGUUUGCUCUCAAAAACAGAUGAGAAACUGGACUUAAAAUCUGACUGGGAGAAAGUACUUUAGGCAAAACAAACUACUCAUAUACAAAAGGAUGGGCUCUGAAGCAGAGAGUGAAGGCAAUAGCUUCAAGAUCGGUGGAUUUAAAACCUAGAAGUAUCUUCUCUAAAAGAUAAAAGAUUAAGAAAGGCUUUAAGAUAGCUAGAGCAGGAAUAAAGUAGUCAAGUGAAUGUGAUACCACAAGGUUCCAGAAGUUUCCAUACUAAUAGAAACAGAUACUAAGUGAAGUUUGAGGGGCCCUCACAAUCUGGAUAGAAAACUCUUCAAGUAGAUCUCAACCUUCAGGCUGGAAUAUCUUUGCUUAGCUAUCCCAGCCAGAGGACCAUAGUGGUUGAUUUCAAAAGGAGUUGCAAUUAUUCUAUCUUGUAAAUUCUCUCAUUGUUAAGUUUUGUCACAGUUUGUUGUUGCUACUUUCUUUCAGUUACCUAGAAAAUGUUUUCUCUGAAAACCUCUAUCCAUGCCUCAACAGAUCGGAGAUAAAAAAGGAAUCAUCUUACAAGAUUAUCAAGAAAGAUAAUGGGCUAGGUGUAUCCUUAAAAGGUCAUUCAAAUGAAAUAUUAAAAUUCUUACUUUUCUGUGUUAUUCGGACAUGGAAUAACAAUAACAGUUAAUGUUUAUUUGGUGCUUACUCUGUAUUUGGUACCAUUUCAAGAGUUUUAUAUGCAUUAUUUGAUCUUAAAAAACAACUCUUUGAGGAAGUUACUACUGUCUCCAUUUUAUCAGUGAAUGAACAGAGAUAGGAAGUCUGGCUCCAAAGCCCACACUCUUAACUAUUAUGCAAUAUUAGUUGUCAAAUGUCUUGAAAAAAAAAUCUGUGUAAUUACUAAAAUAUUACGCUGGGCUACUUAUUAAGGUAAAAUUACGUUUCAAAAAAAUUAAUCCUUUCCAAAUGCAAUGUUAACUAUUCAUGAUGAAAUAUCAGAACUAUCUCUAAUACCAAUAUUUUUAUUGGAAUAAAAUAGGAGGUUAAAGGAAAUGUUUAUAUAUAUAAAUGUGUGUAUAUAUAUGUAUAUACAUAUAUAUAUACUAUGCACACACACACAUACAUAUCUAUGUGUAUAUAUAUGAUUUUUUGCAAGGGCAAAAACCAGAUUUUUUUUAAACACAUAAUCAUUAAAUCUGCAAAUAUCAAGUUUAUCAAUUUUUUGUUACAGGAAAAAAUAGUUUAUUAUAAAUUCAAUGCAUAGCAUUUUCUGGUUUAGACCUUUCCAUUAUUGUUCUGACAGAACAAAGACUAUGAGGUUGUCAGAAAUAAAUUGUUCAUUUUGUUUCCUAAAUAUGUGGCAAAGACAUUGUAUGUUUUUUGUUUGUUUGCUUGUUUGUUUGUUUUAGAAUAGUUUGAAAUGUCUUCAAACCUUUUGACCAACCAAGAAAGCUUUUGCCUGGGCACAGGCUUUAUCUUUCUUAGCAUUACACUAGAGAUACUAAUCCCUCCCAACAAUUUCAUUAUGAUUAUCGCAAUAAAAUAUAACGAUCCAUUAAGUCCAUGGGGCAGAUGUUUAUUUAUUUAUAACCAUGCCUUAUUCCACAGAGAAUUUAAAGAGGAAUAAAAGAUUAUUUCCUCAUUGCAUCAAAUGAAUAUCUUUUAUUUUGUCUAAUGUUGUAUUUCUUUUUCUUUAAUUGGCACUAAAUGUUUAUUUGCAUUCUUUUAAUUACUUUUAAGGCAUCCAUUAUUUCUGGAUUACAUUACUGAACUCUCAAUAAAUCAAUACAUAGUUCUGUAUAUAAUUUUUUCAACAUUUUUUCCUUCUUUAAUUUGGUUCAUUUGUAUCUCCCUUUGCUGUUUAUUGAGUAGAAAUUCUGAUUUUUGUAGCAAAGGGAGAACAAACAAACAACACACAGAAUAUUCUGUAUUUAAUGCUGCAAUUGUCUCUAUGGUUGCAAUGUGUAGGUGGGGUGCAUUCAAGUGGGCUUGUGGUAUUUGUGUGUGUGUGUGUGUGUAUGUGUGUGUGUGUGUUGGAAGAAUAUAUAUUGAGGAUGAUUCCUAAUUUUAUCACUUUGUUGAGGAACUGAAAUUGUGGCUACACAUUCACUCUAAAUAUUUUGUCUCACAGUCCCCUCCCUUCAACAAUUAUAUACAGUACACUAUUUGUUGGAAGCUCAGGAGAAAAAGGGCAUUUAAGAGCAUGAGAUUUGGUGGCAGACUGACCUAAUAGUAGAUGGUACCAGUGAGAUCUUGAGCAACGUAAAUGUUUCAACUGAAAAACGAAAACCUUUUUUUGGAAAGAAUCGAAACUAAAAACCCAACUAUUUAAAAAAUGGAAACUUUUGGCCGGGAACGGAGGCUCACACCUAUAAUCUCAGCACUUUGGGAGGCCGAAUGGGCGGAUCACAAGGUCAAGAGAUUGAGACCAUCCUGGCCAACGUGGUGAAACUCCGUCUCUACUAAAAAUACAAAAGUUAGCUGGGCAUGGUGGCACAUGCCUGUAGUCCCAGCUACUCGGGAGGCUGAGGCAGAAGAAUCGCUGGAACCCAGGAGGCGGAGGUUGCAGUGAGCCGAGACAGCACCACUGCACUCCAGACUGGCGACAGAGUGAGACUCCAUCUAAAAAAAAAAAAAAGGAACCUUUUGCCUUACUUCGUUUGCUAGCUACAUUCAAGUCUGCAAUUAAGCUCGGUGUUUUGCCUUUCUCAAACUGUGCACAGGUCCUCUUGUUUGUUCCCCUUCUCUCUGUUGCCUAGGAAUACAGCCAAAAACUUGAGUAAUAGAUGAUAGAUGGGUCUGUCACUAAGCACAUCCUAGUGACAUAGAUAAGAAGCAAAUGCUACAAAAUUAUAGGUGCAAACUACAAGUUGUGUUUUAAUUGGUUUUAACAAGUACUUAUAAGCAGAAGAACUGUGAAAAAUCUAACAUUUUGUCCUACUUGCAAGCCUGCCAGUCUUUUGAGUGCUGGGCAAAGACACAAUAGUGCUGGGUCAGAGACAAUUAACUUUACUACUCACAUUAAUAGCAUUAGCAAGAGUAUCAUGAUUUUCUUGCACUGAUUCCUCAAGCCGCAAUUCCCACAGAAAAGCUCAGGUGACACCUACAUGCUCAGUGGGUUGCAUUAGAAAAGAGGAACGCAGAGCUCAGGAAACAUGGAUAUUUUAUAAUGGCCAGUAAAGAUGUCCCUUUGCUUUAGAAAGAGGCACUACCUCUAUCCAAGGCUGCAAGCACACCUGCCUUUUGUUUUAGAAGGAGAAAUGAUUUCUAUCUUCCAAGGCUGUUCACUAUAUGAAAAGACAGUCCCAAACAAAAGGCAGUUACUGACUUGCUUGAAAAAUGUGCAGAAAUGAUACGCUGCUUGAAUGUGGACAGCUGACACAGGGACAAGGAGUAAAAAUGAUUAGGUUUUGAGCUUGACCAACUAGGAAGAUAAUUAUUAGCAGUAGAGAAAAAAAGAACAAAGUAGAUUUUAGGGCAGAUAAGCCAUUUUUUAGGUAGGUUGAGUCUGAGAUGCCUCCAUAAAUAUAAGUUGAAAAUAUGAGAUUGGAGUUGAGACUUCAGAAAUACAUAUUUUGAGUAGUUACACUACAGAGGUAAGUCAUCAGAGUUCAUAAAAUUAAAGUGAGAAAAAGAGGCAAGUGAAGAAAAACAAGAUGGCAUUGCAUGAAGAACUUUCUUAGGAAGGAAGGCAGCAAAGAGGUAAAAUUGGAGGUGUAGUCAGAGAUGGAAGAUGAAAAAGGAAAAUAACAAUAUUUCAGAAAUGAAAUGAAAAAGGUCUUUUACUAAGUAAUUGGUACUACUACUUGUCAGUUUCAAGUGCUGUAAAAAAAAUGGGAAGAACCACACAUGUGCACUUUCAGUACUAUGUAUUUUAUGCUUCAGGGAUGCAUACCUGUUUAACAAAAGUAUGUUUUUUCUCAAAGUGUGUUGAAUAGUCCAGAAAAAGAUGGAGGUAGAAGUCAGACUUCAGGAGAUAAAGGAACCAGAAAGAUCAUUGAAGGCUGUGAUGGUAGAAAACAUUUUGACAAAGAGUUGUGCAAUGAGAAAGCUAGGGGUGGGACAAUUAAUUUUGAGGGUAACAAUUGGGGAUUUGAGUAGAUUUUUUGCUUCUGUUCUUUAAUUGUUUUGUCUUCUUUUUAAAGAAACCAAGAGACUGUUAAUGUAGUAGGAGCAGAGUUUCACAAUACAGAGCAGAGAGGGUGUUGGUUGAUAAAGAAUUGUCUCAAAUGAGAGGAAAAGAAUGGAGCCAAUAACAGAGAUGAUGUUUAAUUUGGGAAAGGUGGGACAUGUUAACAUGAGUCCAGAGAACUAAAAUGAGCUUAUGGCAUGCAGAUGCUGAAGAUGAAGAAAGGAAAGGAAGGAAAAGGAGGAAUUUAUAUUUAUUUAUUGAAUAAUCUUGUAAAACUGUUAAUCACCCCUUUUUACUGACGAUAAGACAUAAAUGUCAGAGGUGUUUUGCCUAAAGUAAAAAAUUCGAUAGUCAAGCUGGGUUUAAAACCAUAUCAGUCUUACGUCAAAGCAUGUUUUAAUUGCUGUUGUGUGGUUGUGAUUUUAAGGGAAGAAGAAGAGUUUUAUAAUGGGUUCUCUGAAAAAUAAAAUAUCAAUUAGAAAGAAACAAAACAACUGCUGAGAAGCAGUGAAUCCAAGCAGAAUCUGAGUAUCAUCACUUUUUAGUUAAACUAACCAGUCCAAUAUCCUGAUUUUUCUUUAACAGGCAAAGAAUUUUUGAGUCUUUCCCAUAGACUGAGUUCUUGUGAACUAUUUUACAGCAAUAAUGGCAUCCAAUCCUAUAGAUAACAAUAACAAAGCUGCAGACCAUUUUGUUGCCAGGUUUCUCCUCCAGGGUGGCUUUCCAGCUAGUUUGUAAACAAAUAACUCAGGUGGCCCUGUCAUGUUACAUUAACUAAAAACCAAGUCUAAAGCACACAUAUAAUAACAUAUGUGUGUGCAAACUGGCUUGCUUUCAAAUUCCUAAAUCAUACAAUUAAAUUUUAAAAAUAACUGUAUUUGGAAACAAGAAAAAAGUCACUUUGACACCCAACUGAUGUAUAUAAAGGAGACUGUGCAUAUGGGUUUUAAAAUGAGAUGAAAAUUGAAAUUUGAUCUUUGAGAUUAAAAACAAUGUUAUGUAAAUCUAUUUUUAUUUAAUUUUUCUGAAAAAUAUUGUAUUUGCUUUAUACCCUCUUGCUAUACAAACUUAUAUUGUUUUGCUUACCCUCUUUUUUUAUUCCUCCUACUUUUUCUUAAUUUUGAUAUCUCUGAAUUUAAAGUCUAGAGAAUGAUUCAUCUUCACUAGUUCUAUCUUUUCCAGUGCUAGUAUUUUUGUUUUUGAGCUGUGGUUUCCCUAUCCCAUUUUUGAGAUCUCAAACUAUAAUUUGGUGUCGAGUACCCAGGUAUCUUAUCUUUAAAGUGAAGACGUAGGCAGCACAAAGGUGCUUUUAUUAGAACGUCCACUAGAUCAGAAUGACCAGUGCACAAAAUUUAUUUUCCUAGCAGACUCACCAAAUUUAACCUGGAAGAGAAUGUCUGACUCUGUUGAAUUUUCUUAGGCAAAUACAAUAUUUGAAAGUCACUGAAUGUUUCAAACAAAAUAUAACAACAUUCAGAUAACAGAACUGUGUUAUUGUUCUCAUGUGUUUAUGCCCAGAAAAUAAGCAGACUGGAGCUUCUCUAAGAUUAAAAGUCAAAACAGUAUUACAAUUCCAGCCCAGAUUUGACUAUCUAAUCAUUUAAACCUUAGUAUCAUCAUCAUCACCACCGUCACUGCAUACUCAUUAAGUUAAAAAAAAUUCCUUUAAAAUAAAUGGAAAAGAAAAUAUCUGUGUAAAUAGAUUAAAGCGAUUCCUGCUCACCACUCCCUUUCUCCCUGGGGCAGGAGACUUGAGCACAUCAAAGGAACUCAUAGCGUUCUUGGAGUAAGUGUGAAAGCCACCGUGAUGAACUAAAUGAAUGCUUACAUCUAAAGAAAGAUGUAAACAUAUUACAUUAAAAGGUGGCAUGACAUAAUGGUAUAUCACUGAUUAAGAAAUGUGAGGCGACUUUCAUGUGCCACUGAUAAAUCAUUAUAAUUUGACAUAGUAGAUAAUGCCCCUAUAUUUCAUCUGCAUACCUGGAAAAUGAGGACUUUCAAAACAUAUUCCUGCCAGUUACAGUCAGGUAUUGCAAAACAAGCAUUUAGUGAGCAUCUAAACUGAAGCUUAGAACUUCAGUUUUGUGGCGGGGCGCGGUGGCUCACGCCUGUAAUCCCAGCACCUUGGGAGGCCAAGACAGGCGGAUCACUUGAGGUCAGGAGUUUGGGACCAGCCUGGCCCACAUGGUGAAACCCCAUCUCUACUAAAAAUACAAAAAUUAGCCAGGCAUGGUUGCACGCACCUGUAGUCCCAGUUACUCAGGUGGCUGAGGCAGAAGAAUCGCUUGAACCUGGGUGGUGGAGAUUGCAGUGAGCUGAGAUCCUGCCACUGCACUCCAGCCUGGGCAAGAGAGUGAGACUCCAUCUCAAAAAAAUAAAGAACUCCAAUUUUAUUUUCUUCAUGGCAUAGCAUAAUAGAUGAGUUAACAAAUUAAUGAAACAGAUUGACAUGUGUUAAUUGCAAUCAUAUACAGAACAGAAAUCAUUUCCAUAAAAUAUUUAACCUGCCUGUUACUUCCCCUAAAUCUCUCUGUAGCUGAUGCCCCAAUUUCACUAUUAGCUCUUCAGACUUGGAUGUUAAGCACUGUGCCUUCCCCUGGACCUCUCUUUAAAUGUCACAGCUAUUUCUGGCAGGCCAGUCUGCAUGUCCACUAGAAGAAAAGGGACCUGGGUUCUUCAUCAGCCCAUCCUUAGAUCUUAGUGCACAUAUGCACCUAGUAAGUGCCGAGCAAAUAUUCAAUGAAUGACUGUACCUUUCCUAAGAAUUCUUCGUUGAUUAUCCUUCAACAGAGCUAACUUCUCUCCCUAUGUGCUCAGUCAAAUGCUCUCCCAUUGGACUGAGUUCAGCAUAAACUGCCAUGUUUUGAGAUGAUUGGUGUAAGCGAAUGUCCUCUCCUGAGUUGCGAGAAUCUAAGAGCAGGACAACAUCACAUGCUUCUCUACUUUCUAUAGUUCUUUUGUCCACUGUCUAACAAAUAAUGCCAAGUGAAAAAGGGAAAAAUGAAUGAAUAAAUUUUGUAAGAUGCCAAUGGAAAAAAACAGAAAAUCAAGAGUUACUAAAAAAAACCACUAACUCCAUUUAAUUGUUUUAGACUAAGAAUCCCUCAGUGAUACCUAGCCAAAAUUAGGAUUCAGAUCCAAAAUAAAAGAUACUGUUGCCCCAAGUAGAUAUCAUAAUUUGUUACAAUAAGUAAAAAUGUAUAUUAUUCAAUACUAAACUGUUAUACCACAUUUCAAGUUUUUAAAACUUUAUCUUCCUUUUAUGCAUAGAUAGUAGUAGAGCAUUAAGAACAUGCAUGGCUAUCACCUGAGGUGUUGAUUGUAAAUUCACAUUCCUAGGCUUUGUCUCUUAACUACUGAAUCGGAAUCUUUGGGAGUGAACUGACAGGAAUCUGAAUUUUAAAAAUAAGGUCUUCAGGUGAUUCUCAUGCAUCUAAAGAUAACUGCUUUAAUAUAUAACAAAGAAACCCAAAGAGGGACACUUGAGGAUUUUUUCAAUAUAUCUUCUUUUGCAGAGAUUAAUAGUGAAUGUUGUUUUAUCUGCUGUUUAGAAUUUUACAUAUGCAUUGGAUGAUACAUCUUCUUUUACUGACAAAAAGGCUUUUCUCUGGAGAAAAUAAAAAGGCAGCUUUCCCUGAGAGCACACACUUCUAGCAAAGCCCCAAUCCAUAUGACUCUAAGACAGAGUGAUUUCCACCUUCUAGUCCUUACUUUCUUGCAAAAGGGGCUUUCAAAUCUCAUUACUGAUGGUCCCAUCUUUUAUUACUGGUGUUAUCAAUGGGAUGCUUGCAGCAGCUUAAGUAUGUGGAUAAAGAAGGAAUGCACAAUAUACGGUACUGAAUAUUUUUAAAAAGUGGUCUUUCAGAAUGUCUGUAUGUGUGGGGGCCCAUGCUUAGGCAUAUGUGCAUGCCAGUGUGUUAUUUAUGUUGAAACCAAUGUUUUACAUUAAUGGCUGGAAUUCCAGAAAAAUAAGAAAAUAUUUGUAUUUUCUAAACCAUUAAAAGUUUAGUGGAACUCAUUAAUAGUCUGUAUCAUCUCUCUGUAUAUUUCAGAAGUACAUUUUAAGUGUAACAGCUAGGGGUAAACUUUCAUAACUGUAUGAUUUGAACACAAGUACAAGAAAUAUUCAAGGUUUUCUUUUCUUUUUUUUUUUUAGAUGAAGUCUCACUCUUAUCGCCGUAGCUAUAGUGCAAUGGCGCUGUCUCAGCUCACUGCAACCUCCGCCUCCUAGGUUAAAGCAAUUCUCCUGCCUCAGCCUCCGUAGUAGCUGGGAUUACAGGAUCCUGCCACCACACCCACUAAUUUUUGUAUUUUUGGUAGAGAAUGGGUUUCACCAUGUUGGACAGGCUGGUCAUGAACUCCUGACCUCAGUCGAUCCACCCGCCUUGGCCUCCCAAAGUGCUGGAUUACAGGUGUCCACCGCGCCUGGCCAAUAUUCAAGUUUACACAGGAAAAAGAAUACUUUCUCUGCAUAACCUUUACUUAUUUACUCAUAAGCCUCUAGUUCUCUCUGGAUUUGACUGUAAAUCUCAACACAUUUCCCAGAAACUAACAUCUUCUGGCUGACUUCUAUUAAAAAUUCAGACAAAGAAAAAAACUGAAUACAAUGGAGAGAGAUUAUAAUACUGCUAUUCUCCCAUUCUCUCUCUCUACAGCAUAUCACCUCCUCCAAAAUCAGUUCAUAUCUAACUCCUAGCACAUUUUUAGUUAAAAAUAUACAUGCACAAAAUAUAUGUGUAAAUACACAUGCUGAUAUCACACAUAUGUGUGUGUGUGUGUGUAUAUAUAUAUACACAAAAGCAGAUAUAUAUAUAUAUAUAUAUAUACACAAAAGCAGAUAUAUAUAUAUGCUUUCUU
rnacentral:lncRNA from 1 species